GUGGGUGUAGUGUACUGGCAGCGCGCUGCAUUUGGGAUGCAGUAGAGGGAGUUCGAUUCUCCUCACCCGCAC
rnacentral:tRNA from 1 species